AUAAAAAGGCGUUCGAGAUUUCGAUUUCGGCAUAACGCAUUUUUUGUGCAAAUCUAUUCUUUGUCUUCACUCUAUUUUUCUUCACGAAAACCAACCAAAAUCCAAAAUGGGCGCUGAAAAAGUAUCCAUGAACAUCGUUGUCGUUGGACAAGUCCAAUCUGCCAAGGCCGUCAAAAUCGUCGCCAAGGCCGCCCCAGCCACCAGCCAAUCGAUGAUCUGUUAAUUAAUGUAGUUUAUCCAUCACAAACUCAAAAAUGCCAUAAUCCAAACAAUAUGUGUAAUUGAUAAAUCAUAUGUAUUGACAUUGCUAAAUAAAACAGACUCUUCCGUUAAUCA